CACAGGUUUGGUCCCAGCCUUCCUAUUGACCCUUAAUAGACUUACACAUGCAAGCAUCCACACCCCAGUGAAAAUGCCCUCCAAGUUAACUAAGACUAAGAGGAGCGGGUAUCAAGCACACAUCCGUAGCUCACGACACCUUGCAUAGCCACACCCCCACGGGAGACAGCAGUGAUAAAAAUUAAGCCAUAAACGAAAGUUUGACUAAGCCAUAUUGAUCAGGGUUGGUAAAUUUCGUGCCAGCCGCCGCGGUCAUACGAUUAACCCAAGUUAAUAGGCAUACGGCGUAAAGCGUGUUAAAGCACUAUACCAAAUAAAGUUAAAUUCCAAUUAAGCUGUAAAAAGCCAUAAUUGCAACAAAAAUAAACAACGAAAGUAACUUUACAGCCGCUGAAACACGAUAGCUAGGACCCAAACUGGGAUUAGAUACCCCACUAUGCCUAGCCUUAAACACAAAUAGUUAUGUAAACAAAACUAUUCGCCAGAGUACUACCGGCAAUAGCUUAAAACUCAAAGGACUUGGCGGUGCUUUAUACCCUUCUAGAGGAGCCUGUUCUAUAAUCGAUAAACCCCGAUAAACCUCACCAUUCCUUGCUACUACAGUCUAUAUACCGCCAUCUUCAGCAAACCCUAAAAAGGUACAAAAGUAAGCACAAUCAUAAUACAUAAAAACGUUAGGUCAAGGUGUAACCUAUGGAACGGAAAGAAAUGGGCUACAUUUUCUAAUCUAAGAAAAUCCAACACGAAAGUUAUUAUGAAACUAAUAACCAAAGGAGGAUUUAGCAGUAAACUAAGAAUAGAGUGCUUAGUUGAAUUAGGCCAUGAAGCACGCACACACCGCCCGUCACCCUCCUCAAGUAGGUACAAUACACUCAAACUUAUUUACACGUAUUAAUCAUAUGAGAGGAGAUAAGUCGUAACAAGGUAAGCAUACUGGAAAGUGUGCUUGGAUAAAU
rnacentral:ncRNA from 1 species